AGCCAUAUAGUCAAAUUAUGAUGUUAGACUGCAAUUCUGAAGGUGUAGAAUUAUAUUUCUACUAAGGCUU
rnacentral:tRNA from 1 species